UACGUAGGGGGCGAGCGUUGUCCGGAUUCAUUGGGCGUAAAGGGUGCGUAGGCGGCGCGGUAAGUCGGGUGUGAAAUCUCGGAGCUUAACUCCGAAACUGCAUUCGAUACUGCCGUGCUUGAGGACUGGAGAGGAGACUGGAAUUUACGGUGUAGCGGUGAAAUGCGUAGAUAUCGUAAGGAAGACCAGUGGCGAAGGCGGGUCUCUGGACAGUUCCUGACGCUGAGGCACGAAGGUCAGGGGAGCAAACGGG
rnacentral:rRNA from 1 species